rnacentral:piRNA from 1 species
UUUGCAGGUUGGCUGUGAUAGGUGUCCCU